AUUGAACGCUGGCGGCAGGCUUAACACAUGCAAGUCGAACGAGUGGCCGACGGAUGAGUAAUGCUUGGGAAUCUAGCUUCUGGAGGGGGAUAACUACGGGUAACUGUAUCUAAUACCUCGUACCAUAGGAUGAGCCCAAGUUGGAUUAGGUAGUUGGUGAGGUAAAGGCUGACCAGGCCGACGAUCUCUAGCUGGUCUGAGAGGAUGACCAGCCACACUGGGACUGAGACACGGCCCAGACUCCUACGGGAGGCAGCAGUGGGGAAUAUUGCGCAAUGGGGGCAACAUGACGCAGUCAUGCCGCGUGAAUGAAGAAGGCCUUCGGGUUGUAAAGUUCUUUCGGUAGCGAGGCGUUAACUACAGAAGAAGCACCGGCUAACUACGUGCCAGCAGCCGCGGUAAUAC
rnacentral:rRNA from 1 species